rnacentral:rRNA from 1 species
AUUGAACGCUGGCGGAAUGCUUUACACAUGCAAGUCGAACGGUAGAGGGGGCAACCCCUUGAGAGUGGCGAACGGGUGAGUAAUAUAUCGGAACGUGCCCAGUCGUGGGGAUAACGUAGCGAAAGUUACGCUAAUACCGCAUACGAUCUAAGGAUGAAAGCGGGGGAUCGCAAGACCUCGCGCGAUUGGAGCGGCCGAUAUCAGAUUAGGUAGUUGGUGAGGUAAAGGCUCACCAAGCCAACGAUCUGUAGCUGGUCUGAGAGGACGACCAGCCACACUGGAACUGAGACACGGUCCAGACUCCUACGGGAGGCAGCAGUGGGGAAUUUUGGACAAUGGACGCAAGUCUGAUCCAGCCAUUCCGCGUGCAGGAUGAAGGCCCUCGGGUUGUAAACUGCUUUUGUACGGAACGAAAAGGUUUGUCUUAAUACGAUGAGCUCAUGACGGUACCGUAAGAAUAAGCACGGCUAACUACGUGCCAGCAGCCGCGGUAAAGUG